GUAUGGGAUUGGAUUUAUGGUAGGCCCAUCCUGCUGGGUCUGUCAUUGUGCCCCGUGCCAGAGCAAACUGUGGCCUCAAAGCAUGAGCUGGCCUCUGCCUGUAGGCUGCAGGCACUGAAACAGGUCACACAAUA